GACGAACCGUACGAACGUUAUUCGGAAUCACUGGGCGUAAAGGGUGCGUAGGCGGCGCGGUAAGUCGGGUGUGAAAUCUUGGAGCUUAACUCCGAAACUGCAUUCGAUACUGCCGUGCUUUGAGGACUGGAGAGGAGACUGGAAUUUACGGUGUAGCGGUGAAAUGCGUAGAUAUCGUAAGGAAGACCAGUGGCGAAGGCGGG
rnacentral:rRNA from 1 species